GAUGAACGCUGGCGGCGUGCCUAAUACAUGCCAGUAGAACGCUGAAGGAGGAGCUUGCUCUUCUGGAUGAGUUGCGAACGGGUGAGUAACGCGUAGGUAACCUGCCUGGUAGCGGGGGAUAACUAUUGGAAACGAUAGCUAAUACCGCAUGACAACAGUUAUUGCAUGAUAACUGUUUAAAAGGGGCAACUGCUCCACUACCAGAUGGACCUGCGUUGUAUUAGCUAGUUGAUGAGGUAACGGCUCACCAAGGCGACGAUACAUAGCCGACCUGAGAGGGUGAUCGGCCACACUGGGACUGAGACACGGCCCAGACUCCUACGGGAGGCAGCAGUAGGGAAUCUUCGGCAAUGGACGGAAGUCUGACCGAGCAACGCCGCGUGAGUGAAGAAGGUUUUCGGAUCGUAAAGCUCUGUUGUAAGAGAAGAACGAGUGUGAGAGUGGAAAGUUCACACUGUGACGGUAUCUUACCAGAAAGGGACGGCUAACUACGUG
rnacentral:rRNA from 1 species